UGCGCGAUACAGGGUGACAGCCCCGUACACAAAAGCGCAUGUGCUGUGAGCUCGAUGAGUAGGGCGGGACACGUGGUAUCCUGUCUGAAUAUGGGGGGACCAUCCUCCAAGGCUAAAUACUCCUGACUGACCGAUAGUGAACCAGUACCGUGAGGGAAAGGCGAAAAGAACCCCGGCGAGGGGAGUGAAAAAGAACCUGAAACCGUGUACGUACAAGCAGUGGGAGC
rnacentral:rRNA from 1 species